CGCGGUAAUUACGUAGGGUGCGAGCGGUAAUCGGAAUUACUGGGCGUAAAGCGUGCGCAGGCGGUUUCGUAAGACAGACGUGAAAUCCCCGGGCUCAACUGGGAACUGCGUUUGUGACUGCGAGGCUAGAGUACGGCAGAGGGGGGUAGAAUUUCCACGUGUAGCAGUGAAAAUGCGUAGAGAUGUGGAGGAAUACCGAUGGCGAAGGCAGCCCCCCUGGGUUAGUACUGACGCUCAUGCACGAAAGCGUGGGGAGCAAACAGGAUUAGAUACCCUGGUAGUCCACGCCCUAAACGAUGUCAACUAGGUGUUGGAAGGGUUAAACCUUUUAGUACCGCAGCUAACGCGUGAAGUUGACCGCCUGGGGAGUACGGCCGCAAGGUUAAAACUCAAAGGAAUUGACGGGGACCCGCACAAGCGGUGGAUGAUGUGGAUUAAUUCGAUGCAACGCGAAAAACCUUACCUACCCUUGACAUGCCAGGAACUUUCCAGAGAUGGAUUGGUGCCCGAAAGGGAGCCUGGACACAGGUGCUGCAUGGCUGUCGUCAGCUCGUGUCGUGAGAUGUUGGGUUAAGUCCCGCAACGAGCGCAACCCUUGUCAUUAAUUGCCAUCAUUUAGUUGGGCACUUUAAUGAGACUGCCGGUGACAAACCGGAGGAAGGUGGGGAUGACGUCAAGUCCUCAUGGCCCUUAUGGGUAGGGCUUCACACGUCAUACAAUGGUCGGUACAGAGGGUUGCCAAGCCGCGAGGUGGAGCCAAUCCCAGAAAGCCGAUCGUAGUCCGGAUCGCAGUCUGCAACUCGACUGCGUGAAGUCGGAAUCGCUAGUAAUCGCGGAUCAGCAUGUCGCGGUGAAUGCGUUCCCGGGUCUUGUACACACCGCCCGUCACACCAUGGGAGUGGGUUCUACCAGAAGU
rnacentral:rRNA from 1 species